GAGUGGGGGGGUGUGGGGGGGACUUUUGGGAUAGAAUUGGAAAUGUAAUUGAGGAAAAUAUGUAAUAAAAAAAAAAAAAGAAAGAAAGAAAGCUAACUGAGACACCUACACAAAAACUACAGUAGCAGAGAGGUCGCCAUUUUCAGCAACACCCUGGACUAGACACAACAAAGCUCUCCUACAAAAUCCCGUUAAGACAUUAAACUCCUUUGAAAACUAGGGCUCCUAAGGAAAAAAAAUCACCACAGAAGAGAAUUGGAGACAUAGACUACUAGGUACAGAUCAAAGGACACAUGAACGGUGGGAUUGUUAAUUUAGUGGUAGAGAGCUUGCCCAGCCCAAAGAAAUGAGACAGGAGCUAACUUGAAGGUCCUCAUACUGUGAUAAUCAGGAAGAGUAAGUGGAAAGACAGAUGGGUGUCAAGUAUGUACGCACCUAUAAUGUCUGCCCUCCUCAUAAAAGCUUAUGGGCACAUAUGGAGUCACUCAGGAUAGGAACUCAAUAAUGAAAACCUAGAGAGGAUUCAGCAUCUUGAGGCUGGAGAGAUGAUUCAUAUUUAAAAGCACUAGCUCUUGCAGAGGACCUGGGUUCAGUUGUUAGCACCUACAUGGUGGCUCACAACAACCCACUCCAGUUCCAGGAAAUCCAAUGCCCUCUUCUAACCUCCUCAGAUACCAAGUACAAAUGUGCAAACAUUACUCCGCAGGCAACACAGUUACAUGAAAUACAACUUUUUCUUCUUUUUUCUUUCUUUUCUUUUUGAAACAGGAUUUCUCCGUGUAGCUCUGGCUGUCCUAGAACGUACUCUGUAAAUCAAGGUAGCCUCAAACUCAGAGAUCUAUCUGUCUCUGCCUCUUAGGUGCUGGGAUUAAGGGCAUGUGCCACCCCACCACACACAGCUAAAUAUUAAUAAAUAAAUAGUUAAACCCAUCAUUUUGGGGCUGGAAAAAGGUCCCGAGAUUGAGAGCACAGGCUGAAUUCCAAAGGACCUUGGAACCACACAGCAGCUCAGCGCUGUCUAUGACUCCAGUACCAGGGAAUGCAGCCUCCUCUUCUGGCUUCCUUAGGCACCAGGCACACAUAGUGCACACAUAUACAAGCACACAAAAUACUUAUCAAAAAAAGAGCUGCAUGCACCUUUUCCUAUACAGCAUGUCUGCAUGCAUGUUUCCCUACACCUCAUGCAUGUCCACCUCAGCACAGCACAUUCCCAUGUCAGCGUCCGUUAGUCCAUACCUUUAACGCUUAACAGGCUACAGCUAUUCUAACUCUGAUAUGCACGCCUCAGGCCUCUGCUUCACGUGUUCACAGACUGACCCACAACAGCAUCUGAGGAAUGCUUUUACUUGGCAAGGGCUUCUUUGUAAAAAAGUCAGUAGUAAUGAAUACUGAUUAGAAAUCACCAUUCUAAAGCCCUCUAACAAAAUAAUGGAUGUAGAAUUACUACUUCAUAAACUCACUACUGAGAACCAAUGAGCCUGGACACAGGUCUCUGUCUCAGCAACGGACAGGCAGGCUGGAGAUGAGCUCCAGGUGAGCCUAGGCUACCUGGGACCUGCCUCAAACAGGAAAUAAAGGAGAGAUGAGAUGGCAGUGGCAGCGGAAGAGGCAGCUCAGGGAUAGAGCACUUGCUGAACACACACAGGCUCUCUGGGAGAUCUCUAACACCACC
rnacentral:lncRNA from 1 species